UGCCUGCCCGGUGAUUUAUUUAAUUAAACGGCUGCGGUACUCUGACCGUGCAAAGGUAGCAUAAUCAUUAGCCUGUUAAUUACAGGCUGGCAUCAACGGCAAGACGAAGGAAAAGCUGUCUCUUUAUAUUAGAUUUGAACUUUACUUUUUGGUUAAGAGGCCAAAAUUUAUUAGUGGGACGAGAAGACCCUAUUGAGUUUUAGCGAUAAGACUAGAAAAAUGGUCUGGUUUGUAGCUUUGGUUGGGGCAACGAGUUUUUUUAUUAAACAAAAUAGAAUUAAAUGAAUUGAAUCAGGUAAUAUGACCCUAAUAUAUUUAGGCAUAAAGAAAAAAUUACCCUAGGGAUAACAGCGUAAUUCUUUUUGAGAGUACUUAUUGACAAAAGAGUUUGCGACCUCGAUGUUGGAUCAAAGGGACCUGGAGAUGCAGCAGUUUCCUGGGGUUGGUUUGUUCAACCAUAAAAACUUU
rnacentral:rRNA from 1 species